rnacentral:rRNA from 1 species
UACGUAGGGUGCGAGCGUUAAUCGGAAUUACUGGGCGUAAAGGGUGCGCAGGCGGUUAUAUAAGACAGAUGUGAAAUCCCCGGGCUCAACCUGGGAACUGCGUUUGUGACUGUAUGACUAGAGUACGGUAGAGAGGGGUGGAAUUCCUGGUGUAGCAGUGAAAAUGCGCAGAUAUCAGGAAGAACACCAAUGGCGAAGGCAGCUCUCUGGGACGGUACUGACACUGAGACGCGAAAGCGUGGGGAGCGAACAGG